CCUACGGGUGGCUGCAGUGGGGAAUAUUGGACAAUGGGGGGAACCCUGAUCCAGACAUGCCGCGUGUGUGAAGAAGGCCCUCGGGUUGUAAAGCACUUUCAGUGAGGAAGAACGCCUGGUGGUUAAUACCCAUCAGGAAAGACAUCACUCACAGAAGAAGCACCGGCUAACUCCGUGCCAGCAGCCGCGGUAAUACGGAGGGUGCGAGUGUUAAUCGGAAUUACUGGGCGUAAAGCGCGCGUAGGUGGCUUGAUAAGCCGGUUGUGAAAGCCCCGGGCUCAACCUGGGAACGGCAUCCGGAACUGUCAAGCUAGAGUGCAGGAGAGGAAGGUAGAAUUCCCGGUGUAGCGGUGAAAUGCGUAGAGAUCGGGAGGAAUACCAGUGGCGAAGGCGGCCUUCUGGACUGACACUGACACUGAGGUGCGAAAGCGUGGGUAGCAAACAGGAUUAGAUACCCUAGUAGUC
rnacentral:rRNA from 1 species